rnacentral:lncRNA from 1 species
UUAUUCUUGAAUUUUACUCUACAAAGUAGUAUCAUGUUGACAAUUUGGACGUUAUUGAUUUCUGGAUAAAUUAAAUUAUAAAUCUUUAAAAUUUAUCCUUGAAAUUGUUUUAUUGAAUUAUUAUGUCAUUGUCAUUAUCCUCAUGCUUAUAUUGUGAUUAAAGUCAUCUUUGGCUUACGUGCAUAGAUGGACUUGGUAUGAUUAUGACCAGGGAUUAUUCGGUAUAAUCAUGACCAUUGAUGAUUACAUGAAUAUCCUUGGUCGUGGUGCAGGG